UUCGUGGAAGCAUUACCGUAAGGGGAUGUGGAGGACAUGGAAGUGAGAAUGCCGGUGUGAGUAGCGAGAUGCAGGUGAGAAUCCUGCACACCGAAAGCCCAAGGAUUCCGGGGGAAGGUUCGUCCGCCCCGGGUCAGUCGGGACCUAAUGCGCAGCCGACAGGCGAAGCAGAUGGAAAGCAGGCGAAGAUUCCUGCACCUGA
rnacentral:rRNA from 1 species